UACGUAGGGUGCGAGCGUUAAUCGGAAUUACUGGGCGUAAAGCGCGCGUAGGCGGCCUCAUAAGUCCGUUGUGAAAGUCAAAGGCUCAACCUUUGAAAGCCGAUGGAUACUGUGAGGCUAGAGUCCGGAAGAGGCGAGUGGAAUUCCUGGUGUAGCGGUGGAAUGCGCAGAUAUCAGGAGGAACACCAAUAGCGAAGGCAGCUCGCUGGGACGGUACUGACGCUAAGGCGCGAAAGCGUGGGGAGCGAACAGG
rnacentral:rRNA from 1 species